AACAUGCAGUCGGACGGCAGCAUAGAAGAGCUUGCUCUUUUGAUGGCGAGUGGCGAACGGGUGAGUAAUAUAUUGGAACGUACCGAGUAGCGGGGGAUAACUGUCCGAAAGGAUGGCUAAUACCGCAUACGCUCUGAGGAGGAAAGCUGGGGACCUUCGGGCCUGGCACUAUUCGAGCGGCCAAUAUCUGAUUAGCUAGUUGGUGGGGUAAGAGCCCACCAAGGCGACGAUCAGUAGCGGGUCUGAGAGGAUGAUCCGCCACACUGGGACUGAGACACGGCCCAGACUCCUACGGGAGGCAGCAGUGGGGAAUUUUGGACAAUGGGCGCAAGCCUGAUCCAGCCAUGCCGCGUGUAUGAAGAAGGCCUUAGGGUUGUAAAGUACUUUUGUCAGGGAAGAAAAGGGCAUUGCUAAUACCGAUGUCUCAUGACGGUACCUGAAGAAUAAGCACCGGCUAACUACGUGCCAGCAGCCGCGGUAAUACGUAGGGUGCGAGCGUUAAUCGGAAUUACUGGGCGUAAAGCGAGCGCAGACGGUUAUUUAAGUCAGAUGUGAAAUCCCCGAGCUCAACUUGGGACGUGCAUUUGAAACUGGGUAGCUAGAGUGUGUCAGAGGGGGGUAGAAUUCCACGUGUAGCAGUGAAAUGCGUAGAGAUGUGGAGGAAUACCGAUGGCGAAGG
rnacentral:rRNA from 1 species